UCUUAUGGAUGAGCAAAAGGAGUGGUUUCUUGAGUUGGAACCUACUCCUGGUGAUGAUGCUGUGAA
rnacentral:pre_miRNA from 1 species